GACGAACGCUGGCGGCGUGCUUAACACAUGCAAGUCGAACGGAAAGGCCCUGCUUUUGUGGGGUGCUCGAGUGGCGAACGGGUGAGUAACACGUGAGUAACCUGCCCUUGACUUUGGGAUAACUUCAGGAAACUGGGGCUAAUACCGGAUAGGAGCUCCUGCUGCAUGGUGGGGGUUGGAAAGUUUCGGCGGUUGGGGAUGGACUCGCGGCUUAUCAGCUUGUUGGUGGGGUAGUGGCUUACCAAGGCUUUGACGGGUAGCCGGCCUGAGAGGGUGAACGGCCACAUGGGGACUGAGAGACGGCCCAGACUCCUACGGGAGGCAGCAGUGGGGAAUAUUGCACAAUGGGCGGAAGCCUGAUGCAGCAACGCCGCGUGCGGGAUGACGGCCUUCGGGUUGUAAACCGCUUUCGCCUGUGACGAAGCGUGAGUGACGGUAAUGGGUAAAGAAGCACCGGCUAACUACGUG
rnacentral:rRNA from 1 species